GAUGAAGAACGUAGCGAAAUGCGAUAAGUAAUGUGAAUUGCAGAAUUCAGUGAAUCAUCGAAUCUUUGAACGCACCUUGCGCUCUUUGGUAUUCCGAAGAGCAUGCCUGUUUGAGUGUCAUGAAAAUAUCAACCUUGACUUGGGUUUUGUGCUCUAGUCUCGGCUUGGAAUUGGGUGCUUGCCGCUUUUACGAGCGGCUCACCUUAAAUUUAUUAGCUGGAUCUGUCUUUGAGACUUGGUUUGACUUGGCGUAAUAAGUAUUUCGCUAAGGACAUUCUUCGGAGUGGCCUCGUUUCUAGGACGCUUGUCCGCUUUCCAAUACAAGUUCCACCUCGUGGACAUGACUUUUUAUUAUCUGGCCUCAAAUCAGGUAGGACUACCCGCUGAACUUAAGCAUAUCAAUAAGCGGAGGA
rnacentral:misc_RNA from 1 species